rnacentral:rRNA from 1 species
GCGGCGUGCUUACACAUGCAAGUCGAACGAUGAACCACUUCGGUGGGGAUUAGUGGCGAACGGGUGAGUAACACGUGGGCAAUCUGCCCUGCACUCUGGGACAAGCCCUGGAAACGGGGUCUAAUACCGGAUACUGAYCMKCUURGGCAUCYUGGMKGWUCGAAAGCUCCGGCGGUGCAGGAUGAGCCCGCGGCCUAUCAGCUWGUUGGUGAGGUAAUGGCUCACCAAGGCGACGACGGGUAGCCGGCCUGAGAGGGCGACCGGCCACACUGGGACUGAGACACGGCCCAGACUCCUACGGGAGGCAGCAGUGGGGAAUAUUGCACAAUGGGCGAAAGCCUGAUGCAGCGACGCCGCGUGAGGGAUGACGGCCUUCGGGUUGUAAACCUCUUUCAGCAGGGAAGAAGCGAAAGUGACGGUACCUGCAGAAGAAGCGCCGGCUAACUACGUGCCAGCAGCCGCGGUAAUACGUAGGGCGCGAGCGUUGUCCGGAAUUAUUGGGCGUAAAGAGCUCGUAGGCGGCUUGUCACGUCGGUUGUGAAAGCCCGGGGCUUAACCCCGGGUCUGCAGUCGAUACGGGCAGGCUAGAGUUCGGUAGGGGAGAUCGGAAUUCCUGGUGUAGCGGUGAAAUGCGCAGAUAUCAGGAGGAACACCGGUGGCGAAGGCGGAUCUCUGGGCCGAUACUGACGCUGAGGAGCGAAAGCGUGGGGAGCGAACAGGAUUAGAUACCCUGG